UCCGUAGGUGAACCUGCGGAAGGAUCAUUACAACAACAAUACAACUUUGUGUCUGAACAAUAACUUCAAGUACCGAUCAUCAAAUUGUUAAAACAAAACUUUCAACAACGGAUCUCUAGGUUCUCGCAUCGAUGAAGAACGCAGC
rnacentral:rRNA from 1 species